GAAGGAGUCGGGUCCCUUGGAGGGAAAACCGACGUCCCUGGGGGGAGGGGCGCGCCCACCACUCGCCCAGUGCCCAGCUGCCAGACUCGUUGCGCCCUGGACACAGUGCUUUUCUUUCUCCCCACGAUGGUCGAGCGGAGGUGCCGGCGUUGUGAGACAGGUUGAUUUUCACUUUUAAGUAUUUGCAGGUGCUGCUGGAGUGUCAGGGCAGGUGCCUCUACCUGAAAUGAAGUCCACUUGGAGAGAACUGGCAGCCUCGAAGUUGAAUUUUUCAUUGCCCUUGCUACCAUCGCCGUAAACUCUUUGGUUACCUGGGCUGCAGUAAACUAUAUCCUUCAGAUUCACCUAUUUGAAGAAAGACUGGAAAAGAACAUAUUAAAUGGCAUCACUAAUUUCAUUUAAAAAUAUUUUCCUGUGUGAGAUCAAUAACUCAAAAUAAUCAUUUUGGUCACUGAGAAAAACAGGAAAAAAAUUUGGGCUGAAUAAGAUCUACUACAUUUGAAACUGUCCAAUCCCUGUUUGUCAACUUAGACUAUAACCUAUCUCCUGUGACAGUUGAGUUGAUUACAUGAAGUAGUCCAUGAUUAUGUAAUGUUUUCAGUGGUGCAUGUGCGAGGUCGGAGGUCGACUGUCAUUGUCCAUGAACUUGUACUACUUGGAGGGAUUGGCUCUGUCUGCAGGCAGAGCACAGCCUGCUCUACUUGGGCUUGGUGCUUCCAGGCCCUGCCUCUGCCCAUAACAUAUUUCACAAUGAAAAGGAACAAAAUAUUGACACACUCAACGACAUGGACUGUAUGAUUUCAUUUGUAGAAAAUUCUAGAAAAGGCAAGAAACUAGUAAGAGAAGGCAGAUCACUGAGAGUCUGGAUUGGGGAGAGGGGAUCAACAGCAAAGGGAUACAAGGAAACUGCAUCUUGAUUGUGGCGUGGCUACACUUUACCAAAAUUCAUCAAACUGUACCCUUAAAAUAGGUGAAUUUUAUGG